AGAUUGAACGCUGGCGGCAGGCCUAACACAUGCAAGUCGAGCGGCAGCACGGGUACUUGUACCUGGUGGCGAGCGGCGGACGGGUGAGUAAUGCCUAGGAAUCUGCCUGGUAGUGGGGGAUAACGCUCGGAAACGGACGCUAAUACCGCAUACGUCCUACGGGAGAAAGCAGGGGACCUUCGGGCCUUGCGCUAUCAGAUGAGCCUAGGUCGGAUUAGCUAGUUGGUGAGGUAAUGGCUCACCAAGGCGACGAUCCGUAACUGGUCUGAGAGGAUGAUCAGUCACACUGGAACUGAGACACGGUCCAGACUCCUACGGGAGCAGCAGUGGGGAAUAUUGGACAAGUGGGACGAAAGCCUGAAUCCAGCCAAUGCCGCGUGUGUGAAGAAGGUCUUCGGAUUGUAAAGCAACGUUUUAAGGUGGAGGAAGGCAGUUAACCUAAUACGUAUCUUGUUUGACGUUACGACAAGAAUAAGCACCGGACUAACGUCUGUG
rnacentral:rRNA from 1 species